CGGUCGCGCCUUCCCCCACCAUGUUGUCCCCAAACGUUCCCCGAGCAAUGCGCAGCGAAUGGGUGGUGUUGUAGCUGGUGACGUACACCAUAAGGUAGAACUCGACGGGCUUAUCAGUCGACCACUUAUCGAGCGAAUGGGUGAAAGGUAGCUCCCAAACUCUCCAAACUCUGUCACACGCUUUACGCUGUCAUUUGAAUGGCUACUGGCUGGCGAAGACCGUUAAUGAGGUGGCUGUGGUCCAAAGUGCAUCGGUACUCGUUUUGCGUGGAGGUCUGAUGACAAAUGUGUGUAACCUUCACUUGUGUUGACGUCAUGAUAAAACUUUCACCAUUAGCUUCCCUGUCUAAACUAUCGAAGCAACCCGAUGCACUGACAACGGACAGUGGUGGACCUAUGGCAACAGCUACGAUGACACAUCGCAGUAGGUAGUAGAUGGUUGUCUGACGAUGCGACGUCAGUCAUUUAAUUUGGAACAGUCUCGUGGUAGGAAGUGUCCCUAAAAUAAGCUUUAUUACUUACAUACACAAGAAGCCCAAAGUCGUCAUCGAAUGGCGUCUAUUCGCUGCUGGUGCUGUAAUCAACCCCCAUAUUCACUGAGCAGAAAACAACGAGUACAAGGUUAGACGGUCCAACAAUAGUGUGUUGUUAAGUUAUGCCCUCUCCCACUAUCACCGUUCAAUUAGUUUUCCAUCAAUGAGCCUCCACCCGCCUGGAGCUCAGCGCGGGCGGUGGUUGGGUCGUUUAUAGCCCACAAAAGUCAACAGUAGCAACAUGUUACGAAAAUGGCUAUACUUAGCUGUGGAUGAUGAGCUCUGGCUACUUGUGUGUGCUUGGUAAUGGACACGCAUUAAUUGAGGAAGAUCUACACCGACUGGCGCACUUGUAACGGACGAAAGAUAGCCCACUUUUCCAUCAUCAUGCCCGACCGACCAAAUCCAGCCCAAUCAGCUGUAGGCACGUACGGCGAGAUGUACCAAGCAAGGCUAUGAUGGAAUUUCAUGAUGCUGGUUGAACGGGUUUUUACUGUUAUGAGUGCCGGAGCAUUUUCACACGCAGAGAGAGGCUGUACGGAAUUCCAUUCCACGAUCGUGUGUUGCACAUUUCAACCGAAUUGGAAACAUGCUCGUUAAACUAGCCAUCAGAAUUGCUCAUCCCCAAAAAUGCUCCCUUUCGAAGCCAAUCAUCCCAUAAUUCCGAUUCAGCCUGUGAGCGAUAAGCGAACCAUACGGAGCCCACAGUUCCACACCUGAUUGCUUGAUUGCAGCAAAUGAAGCAAAAUGCCUCGAACCGUUCACACCUGCUCCUGUUUGGCACGUGGUUACCAGGCUUGACGCACCCUUUUUUCUUCCACCUUGGACAGAUAGAAGCGCCACACAGCCAGCAGUUCCGUGGUGGACAAUUCAACACCUCAUCACCCAUCCCUGCGCUAGAACCACAGAACGGGUGAGGACAAAAUGACCACCUAGCAGAGGGGUGAAAAUGGGAGAGAGGGGUGGCUAAAAUUGCCUCACGCUCAAUCAAAGUCAAUGGGGUUGACUCGGUGAGAGAUUUAUGAUUUUAAUCACCUGAUUGUGCGUACGAGCGCUGUAGUAUCGGGCAUCGGGUAGCUGGAAGUGGUUGGCAGAGAAUGGGAGGAAAGGAAAGGUUAAGGUUACACGUCCCAGUACACAAUUCUGGGCAGGUAAAUUGAAUGAGAAUGGCUCUUCUGUGCUGUGCUGUGAGUGUAUUAAAUUAUAGCUAUAAAUUGUAACGAUUAAUUGGGUAGAAAAGUGCUGCCUUGCUAAGUUAGCGCUAUUUCUUUGUGUAAUGAAAAAUUCUUCACGGGAGAAAAUUAUGUGAGUGAAAGCAUUGUUGGAAAAACUUUUUUUUUUUUCAUUAAAAGUGUACUUAAAACAGUAUUUAUUGCUAGCUGUCAAACUGUCAACCUUUCAAGUGCUAUAAUAAUUUGACAACGUCUAUCUGUCAUGCUAGUACCACACGAUUCCGAUAGAUGGCGUCUUCUUCUUCUUC